rnacentral:rRNA from 1 species
GACGAACUGUUCUAACGUUAUUCGGAAUCACUGGGCUUAAAGGGCGCGUAGGCUGUUUGUUAAGCGGGGUCUGAAAUCCCUCGGCUCAACCGAGGAACUGGGCUUCGAACUGGCAGACUAGAGUGAAGUAGGGGUAAGCGGAACUUGCGGUGGAGCGGUGAAAUGCUUUGAUAUCGCAAGGAACACCGGCGGCGAAGGCGGCUUACUGGGCUUCAACUGACGCUUAAGCGCGAAAGCUAGGGUAGCGAACGGGAUUAGAUAACCCUGUAGUCCCUGAGCGGGCU